rnacentral:rRNA from 1 species
GACGAACGCUGGCGGCGUGCCUAAUACAUGCAAGUUGAGCGCUGAAGGUUGGUACUUGUACCGACUGGAUGAGCAGCGAACGGGCGAGUAACGCGUGGGGCAUCUGCCUUUGAUCGGGGGACAACAUUUGGAAACGAAUGCUAAUACCGCAUAAAAACUUUAAACACAAGAUUUAAGUUUGAAAGAUGCAAUUGCAUCACUCAAAGAUGAUCCCGCGUUGUAUUAGCUAGGUGGUGAGGUAAAGGCUCACCAAGGCGAUGAUACAUAGCCGACCUGAGAGGGUGAUCGGCCACAUUGGGACUGUGACACGGCCCAAACUCCUACGGGAAGCAGCAGGAGGGAAUCUUCGGCAAUAGACGAAAGUCUGACCGAGCAACGCCGCGUGAGGGAAGAAGGUUUUCGGAUCGUAAAACUCUGUUGGUAGAGAAGAACGUUGGUGAGAGUGGAAAGCUCAUCAAGUGACGGUAACUACCCAGAAAGGAACGGCUAACUACGUG